CCCAGCAGGAAGAAGGGGCGGGACCCAACGAUGCAGACUGAACUGAGAGCAAAUUUAAAUUACUGAGCCUUUUUCCCCCUUUUUUAUUUUUCUACUCUGCGACAAACUGAAAAGAUUCCAGCACGCUAAUUUAACCACCCUGCUUCUUCUUCUUUACUUUCCCCCCACCCCUGCUUCCAGGAUAAUUAAAAGAGAAACCUGUAAAGGCAACAUUCCUGUGAGCGAGUUGGUGCUGCAACGUGCUGGGCUACAAAACUAGAGA